rnacentral:rRNA from 1 species
GCGUGUGUGAAGAAGGCCUGCGGGUUGUAAAGCACUUUCAGUAGGGACGAAAAGCGGGGUGUUAAUACCGCCCUGUCUUGACUUAACCUAAAGAAGAAGCACCGGCUAACUCUGUGCCAGCAGCCGCGGUAAUACAGAGGGUGCAAGCGUUAAUCGGAAUUACUGGGCGUAAAGCGUGCGUAGGCGGCUAUUUAAGUCGGAUGUGAAAUCCCCGGGCUUAACCUGGGAAUUGCAUUCGAUACUGGAUAGCUAGAGUACAGUAGAGGACAGCGGAAUUCCAGGUGUAGCGGUGAAAUGCGU